rnacentral:rRNA from 1 species
CAACAACAGGUGGAGCCUGCGGUUUAAUUGGACUCAACGCCGGACAACUCACCGGGGACGACAGCAAUAUGUAGGCCAGGCUGAAGACCUUGCCUGAAUCGCUGAGAGGAGGUGCAUGGCCGUCGCCAGUUCGUACUGUGAAGCAUCCUGUUAAGUCAGGCAACGAGCGAGACCCGUGCCCACUGUUACCAGCAUAUCCUUCGGGAUGAUGGGUACUCUGUGGGGACCGCCGAUGUUAAAUCGGAGGAAGGUGCGGGCCACGGUAGGUCAGUAUGCCCCGAAUCUCCCGGGCUACACGCGGGCUACAAUGGUUGGGACAAUGGGUCCCUACACCGAAAGGUGAUGGUAAUCUCCCAAACCCAUCCGUAGUUCGAAUCGAGGGCUGAAACCCGCCCUCGUGAAGCUGGAAUCCGUAGUAAUCGCGUUUCAAUAUAGCGCGGUGAAUACGUCCCUGCUCCUUGCACACACCGCCCGUCAA